UCUCUUGUUUCCUUCUGGAACUUCCUUGAGUGGUGCCAACCACUCCGUAUCUUAUUUUCUUCUCUUUCUUCACUCUUCUGUGUUCAUGGUACAUGUCUUAUACUAUUUUCCAGCUUGCCAUUUCUCCAAUCACUGUGUUCAGUUUGGGUCCUAGUAUUCUGUGUAUUUAAUUUAUGUAAUGUAUUUCCAUUAAUAUAUAUUUGGCUUGCAUAUUUUUUUAAGUUUAUUUAUUUUGAGAGAGAGAGAGACAGCGAGAGCACUUGAGCAGGCGAAAGGCAGAGAGAAAGGAGAGAGAGAGAGAGAGAGAGAGAGAGAGAGAGAGAGAGAGAGAGAAUCCCAAGCAGGAUCCACACUGUCCGUGCAGAGCCCGGUGCCGGGCUUGAACUCCCAACAUGCGAGAUUGUGACCGGAGCUGGAACCAAGAAUCGGAGACUUAACUGACUGAGCCACCCAGGUGCCCCUGUUUUCAUACAUCUGAUGUUACGGAUCAUACACGCACCUCUCCGCCUGGCCCACACCUCAUGAGACAGGGCUUUGCAGCCGCUUCUGAGAUGCCCCCUUUGCUUUUCAUUUUCUUACUCCUGCAGUUUCCUCUCUUUGUGUGCAGUUUGGCUGAUCCCAGCUGCAUUUUGAGGAUGGUAGCCAGUGUAUACAAGGAUGGAGAUGUGGCCGUUGGUACCUAGGUGGUUUGAAGAUGGAUGGACCGAGGCUCUACACAUCACCUUCCUGUCCUUCCCCCUGCACCCCCACAUCCCAGACCGUCCAUAUUUCCUCUCUUCCCGCUGACCUUGUUUCCUUCAAAGGAGAGUCCCCUGACCUACCUUAUAUGAAGAACACGUGUGAAGGCAACUGUUCUAGACUACGGGUGGGAGCAUCAGUGCUUUGACAAUACCCAGAUGGUACAGCGGCUGCUACAAUUCAGGGGUAGGGAUGUUAAUAGAGUCCUGGCCUUACCCGCUACUGGGUACCAACGACUUCUUGUGGUUUUCCUCCAUCCUGUCCACAACUCUGUGAGUAGCCUCUUUAUGGAAACUCUACUUGAAGUGUCCUAGUCUGUGUCAGUUGCUUCCUGCUGGGACUCUGACUGGCAUGCCAGCUCAUUCAAAGUAUAAGAAAAAGUCCUAAUGGGACAAUAAAAUCCAACAAGAUCAAGAUCCACCACGUCUCUGACCACAUCAUCCUCUAGCACACCCUCACUGCACCCCCAGCUCGUUCUACGCUCAUCUCGUUGGCUGCUCUGUGGCGGGACUUUGCAUGCCAAGCCUGCUCUUGCCACACACAUUGACUCACUGUCCCAACUUGUUAAGGUCUCUGCUCAAGGGUCCCUUGGCUAAGAGGCCUUCCCUUCCUAUUUUAUAUACAACGGUAAGAUCCAAAUCCCCCCUUAACUAUUUUAUCAUGCUUUGCUUUUCUGAUCAACACUUAAAAUAGCAAGUCUUAUUGAUUUUUCUAUAAUCUGUCUUCCCCCAUUAGAAUGUAAGUGCUUCAAUAGCAAAACGUACAUUUCAUGCAUUGCUAUAAACACCAGUGUCUCAAACAGGGCCUGGCAUAUAGAAUAUACUCAGUAGAUAGACUAGUGGUUAAGAGCACGGAUGGGGUUCAAACCUGGGCUCUACUAUUUACUAGCCAGUGAGUUCAGGCAAGUUACCAGUAUAUCAUGUUAGUUUUCUCAUCUGUAAAAUGGGAAUAAUAAUAGUACAUACUUCUUAAGCUUAUACUGAGUACUUAAUAAGUUCGUAUUUUCAUAAGGCAUUCAGAAAAGUGCCUCAGCUAUAGGAAGGGCUACAUAAAUGUUUAGUCAUUUAUUAAUGUACUGAAAUACUUCAUUAUAAAAAAAUGACCCCUACAUAAAAAGGAACAAUUCACAAGGAAAAAAAACUAAUCCUGAAUGUAUUUAGUUAUACAUCCAAAUAUAUAAAGAAAAAAAUGACAGAAAUGACAAAAAAAAAAAAAAAAACAAACAACCCGUUAAUCCAUAUCCUUAGAAGACUUUAAUAGACAUCUACCACUAAAUAAGUUUGAGGACAAAAACCUGAAUGUACAUACUAUAUCUGAAAACACAAUUAACUUGAGUAAAUGGGCACAUAGUCUACAUCGAAAACUUAGAGAAUAUACAUUAUUUUCAAAGAAACAUGGAACACUUAUCAAAUGGGACCAACUAAUAGGUUUCCUAGUUAGAUAUUGCAUUCGGCUGGACAUGAACAGACCACCACCUCAAAAACAAACCCCCCGAGAAAAAGACUUUGGCUGCAACCAGUUAGAGGUUACUUUUAAUCAUGUAAGGAGUAGUCUGGGCAUAAGCAGUCCAGAGCUGAGACCGCCAAUCAGAGGUCCAGGGGGAGCCCAUGUCACUGUCAUUUUGUGCUGCACUAUGGUGUCUGGCAUCACGAUCAAAAUAGAGCACUUCCGACUCUUGGCCUUGAGUCGACUUUCAAGAGAAAGCACGGGUAAGACGAACAGGAUACAGGUGGGGAACGAGCCAGAUGGUGUUCUCCCCAGUGACUUCUACCUACUCCUCAUGGUCAGCAGAGCCAGGCAAUACCUCUCUGGGCCUCAGAGAAGCCUUAUAAGUUGCGCAUUUUUAAUCCUCAUCGACAACUUGAAUGACAACGAAAACAUUUUUUACGUAAAUGAGUGGGGGACGAUGGGCAUUGGGAAAGAAGCUAAACAAAAUGCCAUACUAGAGGAGAAAGAUAAAAAACAAUCAGCAUCAUAAAGUCCGCUUACCUGACAAAAAUGCCAUUAAACUAGAAAAAGUAUAUAGUAAAUACGGUCUAAUUUCCACUAAUGAUAAACUAAUUCACUCAGGAGAUAUUCAGAAAUGUCUUUUUGGAUAUGCUAGGUACUGAUGUUUUUCAAGAGUAAAUUAGAGUUAACAUGUUACAUACAAAACUAUGGAACAUAAUUUAAGGUUUAUUUUAGGUAUGGCUAUAGACGUGUUUAUACUAAAACAAAAAGACUGAAAAUUAAUGAACUAGUGGCCCGAUCUUAGGACGAGAUAAAGGUAAACCCACACUCAAAAUCGAUAAUUUCCAUUCCCAGUUUAACUUAUUUUGUGGCCCCUCAGUAAAGAGCUGAGGCAUCACUUUUCUAGGGUUUCCCUACAAUGUGAGUUCUCACAAACCAACAAAGAAUCACUGAAAGAUUUUUUCCAAAUUGAUACACUCACAACUUUUGCCUCCAAAGAAAACUUCCUAUUUUUCCUAAUGUAAGAGGUAUCAUCAAAGGCAUUCCCUCAGUCUUUAUAUUCACAAGUGUCUUUGCAGUGAAUUCUCAGUUUCCUAAGGAAUGUGGAAAAAUGACUUUCCAGUACUGAUGACAUUCGAAGGGAAUUUCUCUCCAGAAUAAACCCUCGUGUCUCUUAAAAACUGAGAGAACAUUCGAGGCUUUCCCACAGUAAUUGUAUUCGGAAUCUCUCCCCAUCUUUCGCUCAGUAAUGCAAACGCUUGUGCUGAAGGGUUUCCCACAUUCCUUUUAGGAUUCCUCUGUAGUGAUUUCUCACAUAUGCUCUAUGGGAUGAGUGUCGCUGAAGGCUUUUGCAUUCUGAGGAUAGUCUUAAGGUUUUUCCCUUAGUGUGAACUGUUAUGUGACUCCCUAGAGAUAUCACUGAAGGCUUUCCUAUAGCUACUGCGCUCCUCAGGUUUCUCUCCACACAUAAUCUUUUGUGCACAUUAGGGUGAGUUUGAGCUGAAAGCUUACCACAAAGAUUGCACUCAUGAGGUUUCUCUCCAGAGGGAAUUGACUUAAGUUACCGAGGGCUACUUCAUAUACAAUAGAUUGGCAGAAUGAGAGUCUGCUAAAGGCUUUUCUUCACUGAUUUCAUGGAAACUCCUCAGAUGGUUCCUUAUGAUCUGUCU